GCGUCGGUGGUGUGACGGUUUAGCACAUGCUCCUCGAAAGACUAGGUCUGGGUUUGAAUCCCGGCUGACGCA